UACAGAGGUCUCAAGCGUUGUUCGGAUUCAUUGGGCGUAAAGGGUGCGUAGGCGGCGCGGUAAGUCGGGUGUGAAAUCUUGGAGCUUAACUCCGAAACUGCAUUCGAUACUGCCGUGCUUGAGGACUGGAGAGGAGACUGGAAUUUACGGUGUAGCGGUGAAAUGCGCAGAUAUCAGGAGGAACACCGGUGGCGAAGGCGGGUCUCUGGGCAGUAACUGACGCUGAGGAGCGAAAGCGUGGGGAGCAAACAGG
rnacentral:rRNA from 1 species